rnacentral:rRNA from 1 species
CUACGGGAUGCUCCAGUGGGGAAUAUUGCACAAUGGGCGCAAGCCUGAUGCAGCCAUGCCGCGUGUAUGAAGAAGGCCUUCGGGUUGUAAAGUACUUUCAGCGGGGAGGAAGGGAGUAAAGUUAAUACCUUUGCUCAUUGACGUUACCCGCAGAAGAAGCACCGGCUAACUCCGUGCCAGCAGCCGCGGUAAUACGGAGGGUGCAAGCGUUAAUCGGAAUUACUGGGCGUAAAGCGCACGCAGGCGGUUUGUUAAGUCAGAUGUGAAGUCCCCGGGCUCAACCUGGGAACUGCAUCUGAUACGGGCAAGCUUGAGUCUCGUAGAGGGGGGUAGAAUUCCAGGUGUAGCGGUGAAAUGCGUAGAGAUCUGGAGGAAUACCGGUGGCGAAGGCGGCCCCCUGGACGAAGACUGACGCUCAGGUGCGAAAGCGUGGGGAGCAAACAGGAUUAGAUACCCUAGUAGUC